GGGGAUAGCUCAGUGGCAGAGCACAUGCUUAGCAUGCAUGAGGUCCUGGGUUCAAUCCCCGGUACCUCCA
rnacentral:tRNA from 1 species